GAAGCGGUGGCUCAAUGGUAGAGCUUUCGACUCCAGUUAAACUCUGGAACUCCUGGAAAAAUUGCAAUCGAAGGGUUGCAGGUUCAAUUCCUGUCCGUUUCA
rnacentral:tRNA from 1 species